GACGAACGCUGGCGGCGUGCCUAAUACAUGCAAGUCGAACGGUCUUUUCUAUGGAAGCUUGCUUCCACUGAGAAGAUAGUGGCGAACGGGUGAGUAACACGUGGGUAACCUGCCAUAAGAGGGGGAUAACAUCCGGAAACGGGUGCUAAUACCGCAUAGUUUUCUUGAUCGCAUGAUCGGGAAAGGAAAGACGGCCUUUGUGCUGUCGCUUAUGGAUGGACCCGCGGCGUAUUAGUUAGUUGGUGAGGUAAUGGCUCACCAAGACGAUGAUACGUAGCCGACCUGAGAGGGUGAUCGGCCACAUUGGGACUGAGACACGGCCCAAACUCCUACGGGAGGCAGCAGUAGGGAAUCUUCCGCAAUGGACGAAAGUCUGACGGAGCAACGCCGCGUGAGUGAAGAAGGUUUUCGGAUCGUAAAACUCUGUUGUCAGAGAAGAACAAGUUGGAGAGUAACUGCUCCAGCCUUGACGGUAUCUGACCAGAAAGCCACGGCUAACUACGUGCCAGCCGCCGCGGUAAUAC
rnacentral:rRNA from 1 species